rnacentral:rRNA from 1 species
GUCUAAGCCCAUACCUCCUUGGACAGGUCCAAUCAUAUCUGAUCUCAGAAGCUAAACAAGGGUCAGGCCUGGUUAGUACUUGGAUAGAAGUACACCAGUCCCAUUGGGUUGGGCC